rnacentral:misc_RNA from 1 species
GAUGAAGAACGCAGCGAAAUGCGAUAAGUAAUGUGAAUUCCAGAAUUCAGUGAAUCAUCGAAUCUUUGAACGCACCUUGCGCCCUUUGGCCAUUCCGAAGGGCAUGCCUGUUUGAGUAUCAUGAUCACCUCAACUCUCAUGGCUUGCCAUGAUGAGCUUGGACUUUGGGGGUCUUGCUGGCCUGUGGUCAGCUCCUCUCAAAUGAAUUAGCUUUCCAGUGUUUGGUUGGCAUCACAGGUGUGAUAACUAUCUACGCUUGUGGUUUCCACCAGGUAACCUUCAGUAACAUGGGGGUUUGCUGGAGCUCAUAAAUGUCUCUCCUCAGUGGGGACAGCUCUUUGAACGUUUGAUCUCAAAUCAGGUAGGACUACCCGCUGAACUUAAGCAUAUCAAUAAGCGGAGGA